rnacentral:rRNA from 1 species
UGAGGAAUAUUGGUCAAUGGGCGCAAGCCUGAACCAGCCAUCCCGCGUGAAGGAAGAAGGCGCUAUGCGUUGUAAACUUCUUUUCCAGGGGAAUAAAAUUCUGUACGUGUACGGAAUUGAAGGUACCCUGGGAAUAAGCAUCGGCUAACUCCGUGCCAGCAGCCGCGGUAAUACGGAGGAUGCAAGCGUUAUCCGGAUUUAUUGGGUUUAAAGGGUGCGCAGGCGGAGUAGUAAGUCAGUGGUGAAAACCUGCAGCUUAACUGUAGAAUUGCCGUUGAUACUGCUGCUCUUGAGUAUGGCCAAGGUAGGCGGAAUGUGUAAUGUAGCGGUGAAAUGCUUAGAUAUUACACAGAACACCGAUUGCGAAGGCAGCUUGCUGGGCCAUUACUGACGCUCAUGCACGAAAGCGUGGGGAUCGAACAG